AAUAUUCCAUUGUUUGUAUAUACUACACUCCAUUCGUCCAUUCAUCUGUUGAUAGACAUUUGGGUUGUUUCCGCCUUUUGGUUGCCGUGAAUAGUAUUGCCAUGCAUAUUCCUGUACAGGUAUUUGAGUACCUCUUUUCAGUUCUUUUGGAUAUAUACCCAGGUGUGGGGUUGCUCAGCCAUCUGGUAAUUCUGUGUGUAACUAUUUGAGGAGUCUUUUUUGAUUCUUGACACUGCAUUUCAAGGAGAUAUUAUCCAACUUUUAUGGGAAAGAAGAUGUGAGCUCAGAAAGAUAGGACUCAUUUCUUCAAAGUCACCCAAUGCUGUGGUCUGAAUGUUUUGUGUCCCCUCCAAAAUUUGUACAUUCAUAUCUUGAAAUCCUAAUGCCCAAUGUGAUGGUGUUAGGAGGUGGGGCCAUUGGGAGGUGAGCCCUUAUGUAUAGGAUUAGUGCCCUUUUAAAAGCAGGUCCAGCAAGAUCCCUAGCACUGUAGCCAAGUGAGGACAAAAUAAGAAGUCUGUGACCUGGAAGAGGGCUCUCACCCAACCCUGCUGGCACCUUGAUCUCAGACUUACAGGCUCCAGAACUGUGAGAAAUCAACUUCUUUUUUUAUCAGCCAUCCAGUCUUUGGUAUUUUGUUAUAGCAUCCCGAGUGGCCCAAGACCCCCAGCCAGAGAGCAGUACAGCUGGAAGUCACAGCACCUUACACGCCCACUCUUCCAUCUCAUCCUCCCCAAAAUACCUGAGAUAGAUGGUUGCCGUUUUCAGAUGAAGAAACAGUCCCAUAAGUUAAGUGACUUGCUGAGGAUACAAUUAAUUUCAGGAGACGUUUUCAUUCCAUUUAGAAACCAGACCUUAUCAUUGAUUAUUUAGAUGUGUUUCUUUUCCUUUCCUUAGGCCUUACAAUCUGGUGACAUGCCAAGAGAAUGCAAUGGGAUCAGAUACCUAUGUUGAAACACUAAGCCCAAAUGUGGCUGAAGAUGGAGCCUCUAAAGAAUGACUCUUGGAAAUUGAUGCCCCAGACAACUCCUAGCUCCUUCAAACCCAGAUUCUACGAUGAUAACUAAACAACUUGCAACGAGAAGAUGCGUAAGUUCUGGCGACCUGAUGCACAGCAUAAGGAUUAUAGUCGAUACUGCUAUAUUAUAUACUUCAGAGUUCUAAAAGAGUAGAUCUUAAAUGUUCUCACCACGGAAGAGAAAUGAUAAUUCUGUGAUGCGAUAGAGAUACUAUUGAAAGCUAUGGUGGUUAUCAUAUUACUGUAUAUAAGUGUAUCAACCAAUAUGAUGUACACCUUUAACUUAUACAAUGUUAUAUAUCCGUUAUAUUUUGAUAAAAACAAAA